CUGAAAAAACUUAAUAAUUACAACUUUCAACAACGGAUCUCUUGGUUCUGGCAUCGAUGAAGAACGCAGCGAAAUGCGAUAAGUAGUGUGAAUUGCAGAAUUCAGUGAAUCAUCGAAUCUUUGAACGCACAUUGCGCCCCUUGGUAUUCCAUGGGGCA
rnacentral:rRNA from 1 species